AGUGGGGAAUUUUGGACAAUGGGCGCAAGCCUGAUCCAGCAAUGCCGCGUGCAGGAAGAAGGCCUUCGGGUUGUAAACUGCUUUUGUACGGAACGAAACGGCUCUCACUAAUACUGGGGGCUAAUGACGGUACCGUAAGAAUAAGCACCGGCUAACUACGUGCCAGCAGCCGCGGUAAUACGUAGGGUGCAAGCGUUAAUCGGAAUUACUGGGCGUAAAGCGUGCGCAGGCGGUUGUGUAAGACAGGCGUGAAAUCCCCGGGCUCAACCUGGGAAUUGCGCUUGUGACUGCACAGCUGGAGUGCGGCAGAGGGGGAUGGAAUUCCGCGUGUAGCAGUGAAAUGCGUAGAUAUGCGGAGGAACACCGAUGGCGAAGGCAAUCCCCUGGGCCUGCACUGACGCUCAUGCACGAAAGCGUGGGGAGCAAA
rnacentral:rRNA from 1 species